rnacentral:rRNA from 1 species
GACGAACGCUGGCGGCGUGCUUAACACAUGCAAGUCGAACGGAAAGGCCCUGCUUGCAGGGUGCUCGAGUGGCGAACGGGUGAGUAACACGUGGGUGAUCUGCCCCUUACUUUGGGAUAAGCCUGGGAAACUGGGUCUAAUGCUGGAUAGGACCAUGCUGUAGGUGGUGUGGUGGAAAGAUUAGUUUCGGUAAGGGAUGAGCUCGCGGCCUAUCAGCUUGUUGGUGGGGUAAUGGCCUACCAAGGCGUCGACGGGUAGCCGGCCUGAGAGGGUGGACGGCCACAUUGGGACUGAGAUACGGCCCAGACUCCUACGGGAGGCAGCAGUGGGGAAUAUUGCACAAUGGGCGCAAGCCUGAUGCAGCGACGCCGCGUGGGGGAUGACGGCCUUCGGGUUGUAAACUCCUUUCAGCCAUGACGAAGCCCUUGUGGUGACGGUAGUGGUAGAAGAAGCACCGGCUAACUACGUG